rnacentral:rRNA from 1 species
UACGUAGGGGGCAAGCGUUGUCCGGAAUCAUUGGGCGUAAAGAGCGCGUAGGCGGUCCGGUAAGUCCGCUCUGAAAGUCCGGGGCUCAACCCCGGGAGGCGGGCGGAUACUGUCGGGCUAGAGUCCGGAAGAGGCGAGUGGAAUUCCUGGUGUAGCGGUGAAAUGCGCAGAUAUCAGGAGGAACACCAAUGGCGAAGGCAGCUCGCUGGGGACGGUACUGACGCUGAGGCGCGAAAGCGUGGGGGAGCAAACAGG